rnacentral:rRNA from 1 species
UACGGGGGGGGCAAGCGUUGUUCGGAAUUACUGGGCGUAAAGGGCUCGUAGGCGGCCAACUAAGUCGGAUGUGAAAUCCCCAGGCUUAACCUGGGAACUGCAUCCGAUACUGGGUGGCUUGAAUCCGGGAGAGGGAUGCAGAAUUCCAGGUGUAGCGGUGAAAUGCGUAGAUAUCAGGAGGAACACCAGUGGCGAAGGCGGCUCACUGGACUGGUAUUGACGCUGAGGUGCGAAAGCGUGGGGAGCAAACAGG